CAAGAGCGUAUGUAAAAGUUGUUGCAGUUAAAAAGCUCGUAGUUGAACCUUGGGUUUGGUUGGCCGGUCCGCUUUUUUGCGAGUACUGGAUUCAACCGAGCCUUUCCUUCUGGCCAACCAGUCGUUUCGGCGGCUGGCGAACCAGGAUUUUUACUUUGAGAAAAUUAGAGUGUUCAAAGCAGGCAUUAGCUUGAAUAUAUUAGCAUGGAAUAAUAGAAUAGGACGUUAUGGUUCUAUUUUGUUGGUUUCUAGGACCAUCGUAAUGAUUAAUAGGGACGGUCGGGGGCAUCAGUAUUCAGUUGUCAGAGGUGAAAUUCUUGGAUUUACUGAAGACUAACUACUGCGAAAGCAUUUGCCAAGGACGUUUUCAUUAA
rnacentral:rRNA from 1 species